rnacentral:rRNA from 1 species
AUGGCAGUGGAAGGUGUUGCAUGGGGCAUAUCCGUCGCAGGAUGGAUCAUGUCCCCUAUCAUCUCGAGGCUUCUGGACAAAGCCUUGUCCUACUGCAAAGAUGACAAAAAAAAGACACUUUACCGCUUGUUGACAGACGUUCUUCCUCGCCUGACGCUUACUCUAGAAGCAGCAGAUGCCAUUAAUCAUAGGGCACUCUUUGAGGACAUGGUGAGUGGCCUUAAAUCUGCUUUCUAUGCCAUAGAAGAUAUCCUUGAUGAGCUGGAGUACAUUCGUCAUCAAGAGAAGCUGGACAGGCAGAAAAGUUUCUCGUCAAAAAUAGAGAAGAAAAAGUCCAUAAUUACUUUGGAUGCUGAAGCCGGUCCCUCGAUCCAGGAUAUUUUUGUCGAACCGAGUUUGACAUUCAAUGCAGCUUUAAAUGAUCGCUUGAAGGAUAAUAUGGCCAUGAUAGAAGAACUUAUUGAUAAAGCACAAGAUAUUAUUGCACUCGCGGAGCCGUCAAGCAAGGAUAAAACUGGUACUGCCAAAAAUACACAGGCAAGCACUACUUCAGAUCCAACAGCAGCGGUAAUUGGCCGAGAUGAGGAUCGUGACCGGAUAGCAGAAAUGCUCCGUGAUGAAAAAUGUGAUGGCAAUUCAAGAUCAAGUAUCAGUGAAUGUUUCUCAGUAAUUGGCAUUUAUGGCAUUUCAGGGUCUGGGAAGACAACCCUUGCACAACAUGUUUGCAAGUAUGAGGAAGAUGAAAAACGUUUCGACCUUAUUAUGUGGAUUCAUGUUUCUCCCAACUUUAGUGUGAGUGACAUUUUCAAGGAGAUGUUUGAAGCAGCUUCAGUAGAUAAGGAGAAAUCAUGCCGUACAUUCUGUAGCCUUGAUAUUUUGGAAAAAGAAUUGAAGAAGAAACUAGAAGGCAAGAGAUUCCUCUUGGUACUAGAUGAUAUCUGGUGCGAUAAGGAUUUUGAUAAGCAGAAGCUGGCGAAGUUACUUUCUCCAUUGAAGCUUGGAGAGAGAGGAAGCAAGAUCCUAGCGACUAGUCGCAAUAAAGAUGCAUUUUCAGAUCUAGGUCCUGGUGUGGCAUGUACCGUUUUCCCAAUAAGUGCCUUGGAUGAAAAGGUCUUCUUGGAACUGUUCAUGUAUUAUGCCCUUGAAAAUACAAAUGCAGAUGAUUCAGAUAAAAAAGAACUGAAAGAUAUUGGGGCUGCUAUUGCACUGAAACUGAAAGGUUCACCUUUGGCGGCUAGUACAGUGGGGGGACAACUACGUAAAAGAAAAAAUGAUGUUGGCUUUUGGAGAGAAGUUCAAGACCGGGACCUUCUGAAUGAGACAUUGGGGGCCCUCUGGUGGAGUUACCAGCAUCUUGAUGAGAAUGUUAGGCGAUGCUUUGCUUACUGCAGUAUUUUUCCUGAAAGACAUCGCUUGUACCGGGAUGAGUUAGUUAAACUAUGGGUGGCAGAGGGGUUCAUACAGACUGUUAAUGCAGAAGAGGACAUGGAAGCUGUUGGUCGGGAUUACUUUGAUGAGUUAUUGGCAACCUCGUUUCUGCAACCAGGAGGAUACCACCUAGGCAGUUUCUACUAUUUAGUCCAUGAUCUUAUGCAUGAUUUAGCCAAGAAGGCAGCAGGGAGUGAUUGUUUCAGAAUGGACAAUGGCUCCAGAAGAGAAGUUCCUCGUGAUGUUCGCCAUCUUUUUGUUGGGAAUGAGGGAAUGAACAUUAAGAAGAUUUUUGGAUUGAAAAACUUACGCACACUCAUUAUUGAUGGUAAGGAAUGGUCUACACGACUUAAUGAAGAGUUCUUUGCCAAAGUGUUUAAGAAGCUGCAAAAAUUGCGGGUACUGGCUGUAGAAAUCAAUGAAAGAAGAGUGUUCAAAAUUCCAGAUUCUAUUGUGCAUUUAAAGCAUCUGCGCUAUCUUGCCUUACGGAUGUUUGGCCAAUCCAAGUUGAUUUUGCCUAAAACAUUAGCCAAGCUUUACCAUCUGCAGGUUCUAAUUUUGUAUGUUCACGAUACAGAAUUCCCUAGUGAUAUAAAUACGGGCAACCUCACCAACUUGCGGCAUAUCAGCGGUGGUCAAAUUGGAAUAUAUUUUCCGAAUAUUGGGAGGCUAACAUCACUCCAAACAUUAAAAGUGUUCCAAGUGAGGACGGAACAUGGGCAAGAGUUAAAGCAGUUGAGGGACCUAAACAAGCUUCGGAGCUGUCUGGCAAUCCAAAGUCUUGAAAAUGUUAAAAGUAAGGAGGAAGCACAUGAAGCAAAGCUAGCUGAUAAGAAAGGACUGCAAGGACUGCGACUGUCCUGGAGUUGUGAUUCGACGUGCACGCCAGAAGUUGAAGCAGAGGUACUUGAGGGUCUUUGCCCACCCAAGGAUCUUAAAAGUCUAGGAAUCAUGAACUACCACGGAUUGAGGUACCCAAAUUGGAUGGUGUCUGAGAAGAAUGGCGGCCCAAAGCAUCUACAUGUACUUAAGAUCCGCGGCUGCAGUCGAUUGGGACCAGCUCCCCAACUUUUUGAGUUCUUCAUUCAUCUUCGUGAGCUCGUCAUUUCUGACUGCAGCUGGGACUGCAUGCCAAACAAUAUGAAGGACCUCAGGUCGCUCAAGACCCUAAUGAUUAUGAAUUGCUUGCACCUCAAAUCACUUCCAGAACUUCCCUUGUCUCUUAUGAAGUUUGAAGUGCAUGAUUGCAAUGAAGUGUUCAUGAGGUCGUGCCAACAAGUAGGUGAUCCAAACUGGGAAAAGAUUCAGCAUGUUGGCGUGAAUAAAACUGGAACUUUUGAAGUCAGGCUCCCAUGGACAAUGACUUUUUGGGAGGAAUCAUAUGAUACGGACAGAGCUGAAGACGAAGACUCGCCAUUGUUAUGA